rnacentral:rRNA from 2 species
GAUGAACGCUAGCUACAGGCUUAACACAUGCAAGUCGAGGGGCAGCGGGUUGAAAGCUUGCUUUCAAUGCCGGCGACCGGCGCACGGGUGCGUAACGCGUAUCAAACCUGCCUCAUACUCGGGGAUAGCCUUGCGAAAGUAAGAUUAAUACCCGAUGUUGUUGCUUUCUCGCAUGGGAGAGUAACCAAAGAUUUAUCGGUAUGAGAUGGUGAUGCGUCCGAUUAGGUAGUAGGCGGGGUAACGGCCCACCUAGCCUUCGAUCGGUAGGGGUUCUGAGAGGAAGGUCCCCCACACUGGAACUGAGACACGGUCCAGACUCCUACGGGAGGCAGCAGUGAGGAAUAUUGGUCAAUGGGCGAGAGCCUGAACCAGCCAAGUAGCGUGCAGGAUGACGGCCCUCCGGGUUGUAAACUGCUUUUAGUUGGGAAUAAAAAAAGGGACUUGUCCCUUCUUGUAUGUAC